UGGAGCAAAACUUCAAAAAUGGUCUCAGUUCGGACUGUAGGCUGCAACUCGCCUACACGAAGUUGGAAUUGCUAGUAAUCGUGGAUCAGCAUGCCACGGUGAAUACGUUCCCGGGUCUUGUACACACCGCCCGUCACACCAUGGGAGCUGGUAACACCCGAAGUCAGUGUCUAACCGCAAGGAGGACGCUGCCGAAGGUGGGAUUAGCGACUGGGGUGAAGUCGUAACAAGGUACC
rnacentral:rRNA from 1 species